rnacentral:rRNA from 1 species
UACAGAGGUCUCAACCGUUGUUCGGAUUCAUUGGGCGUAAAGGGCGCGUAGGCUGCGGGGCAAGUCGGGUGUGAAAUCUCAGAGCUCAACUCUGAAACUGCACUCGAUACUGCUUUGCUCGAGGACUGGAGAGGAGAUUGGAAUUCACGGUGUAGCAGUGAAAUGCGUAGAUAUCGUGAGGAAGACCAGUGGCGAAGGCGGAUCUCUGGACAGUUCCUGACGCUGAGGCGCGAAGGCCAGGGGAGCAAACGGG